UCAGUGCCUCUUCUCACAUGUGUUGCAGGGGUUCACAUAGAGGUUCAAGUGUAUUGGCCUCUUCCCAAGCCAAGGAUGAAGCAUCCAGUUCACAGGAUUCCCAGACCUUGCGGAGCUGUACACAGCAAGGAGCAGGAGCAGGAGGCGUUUGCAGUUACACAGCCCUUGCAUGAGCAACCAUGUAUUUGGCGCUUGGUGAGAACCGCUGAAGAUAUACUUGGUCACUGCACAGUUCUCCUUCAGGCCUCUCCUCACAAACUAAAGGCUGUUUAACAUUUUAUUGGUCUCUAGUGUUCCUAAUACAAUUGUGUCUGCCAAGGAGUGGACCAAAGGCAAGGCUAACUUCUGGUCCUGAAAUGGCCUCUCCUGCUGCUGUUUCCAGAGGUGGGCUAGUCAGCUUUGUAGGCCCUGGGCCUUACCAGCCAGGCUGUCACUUCAGUUUUCACUUUCUGCUGGCAGUUCCCUUUCGUAGCUGCCAAACCCACCUCCUCUGUUCCUCACUCAGUAUUGUUUCUCAAACACAGCAUCUAAUGUUUAUUCUCAUUUUCUGAAUGCUGGACUGUUCACUUGUUCACCCUUCCGAAUGGCGUAGCCACCUAUUCAUACUUCGAAGUUCCUGCCACAGAAAUGUGAGAAAGAGUAUAUACCCAGCUUGAUGUAAAGCACUGGAAAAAAGCCCCCUAGUUUAUUGUCUUCAUCAACCUAAGAUCACGUCCUCUAACUUAACAUUUUUAGUAUACCUCUUUAUCCCAUUUGUGAGAAAUCUAUCAAGUGAAGAGCCUCAGCAUGGUAUGACAGUUACAAUCCUUCCUAAAAUUACAUUUCAUCAUACAGCAUGUACUGAAAGUUGAGAAUAAGGUUGAUUCUUAACACUUCAUCUUCUGUUGUCAUGAGUCUCGUUUUCCAGACUUACUACCAACAUUAUGAAUGUACUGAGUGUUUCAGAGUGCAAGACAAGAACGGCAUGUCAGCUGUUUUCAUCAGGGUGUGCAAAUGAGAUUUGUAGAAGCCCAAUGGAAGAACAUUGCAUCAACUAAUAGAGACUUCAAGAGUAAAUCUGCCUAGUUUGUUUCCUUAUCAGUUUGGACUAAACAUACUUGUUGGCUGAAAAUUAUACAUGUCACCUGCCAGAUUGGAAGAAAAUCAGAAGCUGUCCUGGUAAAAUGAGGAAGUGAGCAGUGAGGAACUGACCAUUCAAUUGACAGUGAACUAUUAAUGUAAAUACUUUUCUUUACACUAAAGAGAGGACCUGCCAUUUAAAAUUGACAGGUUAGCACAUGCUAAAAUAUUGUCCCUAUAUUAGACUGCCCAAAAUUCUGUUAACUAGCAUAAAUGAAUAUAUGACACUCAUGUUUUUGUUCAUCCUUAUUUGGACAAUGCCACAGGCUUUUUUUCAUUCCCUUGAAUGAUACAGUCCAGAAAUUUACCAGGUCUUCAAAAUUAAAAUCAGCUGUUAAGUUACUGAUAUAUUAUCCUAUUGUAAUUCUUUUCCCCCAGAAAAGAAAACAUACAUUUAUUCAGAUGGAGUUUAACUUGCAGCAUGGCUGCUUAAAAUCUGCUUGUAACAAGUAAGAUGGUCCUUUGAAGAGGAGAAAUACUCUCCUGACUCUUUACCCGCUGAUAAUUGCCACUACAGAGGUGAGUGCAAAAAAGGAUUUGAAGGGGUCCAGUCCUCCAAACCACUGUAUGCAGAAUUUCAAAAUAAGCUAUUUUGCAGUGGCAUUACUCCUUUCCCUCCUAAUACUCGUCCUCUUUUACUUCUCUGUGAUUCCCAAAUGCACUGACUCAGUUGACUAAAUUUACCCUGGCAUAAGAGGCUGUAGCUCCACUUCAUUCAUUGACAUUUACCUACAACACAGUUACCCUGCACGGGAAUAUUUCACACAGGCUAGGUGUAGAGGUUUCCCCGACCACUGUCAGUCCUGAGCUUCAGCCAUUCUACUUCAGUCAUGUGCAGCAUUUGUGCAAGGUAAAUAAUACAAGAGUCAAACUCAGGAAGACGAGAGGAUGAAGAGCAGACUGUUAAUGAAAUGGGAAUGGUUUAUUUAAUAUGACUAUGACCUAGCAUGCUUUAGCUUCACCAGCUCAUCAGUGUCAGUUCCCCUAAUCUGUAUGCAGCACUGACACUGACAGAGCUUCUUAACAUAACAGUGAAAUCAUAGAAUCAUAGAA